UCCAAUAUGUGAUUUAGAAUUUUACUCACAUAAUUUUGUUAAUCUUUGCUAUAGUUCACACUUUUUAUAGUUCACACUUCACUUCACCGGACUUAAAUACUUAUGGGUGGACUAGAGUCCAGAGUACCUACUACUGUUCUAGAUCAUGGACCUGGAAUAUCUUUAAAACAUUCUGUGUGGUGUGCUCGAGUUUUGAUGCCACCUGCGGUUCUGUGGAUCACCCCGUCGUUCUUGUAGAGACGUAAAUUCAUUUUGAACAGUCUGAUGAUACAUUUAUGUUUAUCAUUAUAAAUUGUCGGUAUUUGAAAAAUUGCACGUAUAAUACUUCAACUAUGAAUUCAUUACCAUUUAUUUUCAGAUGUUGUUGUGACAUCCUUUAUUAGGAAAUCUCAUAAAUAAUACAUCAAAUCGGAAGAUUGGAGGGACUACAAUUCUUGUGGUAUAUUUUUGUUGUUGCAAAUGUUUGUAGUAUGUUUACAUUUAAGAGGACACUACACCUUCAUUUAUUGUCUUAAUUAUAGCAAGAUGUAACAUUCAGAUUGCGAAGCACCAAUAUCAGUUAUUACAGAGAUCUUAUCAAAAAAAGACCGUUUAAAAUUCAAAAUAUCUCUGACGAAUAAGAGUUUACAUAAGUGAAGGAUUUGGCUGGAGCUAUGCUUGGAAUAGCCAGGUCGAUUAAAUUAUCUGAAGAUCAUAUAACGCUGCUUUAUGGAGCUAUAGAGGUAUAAACUA